UGGCUCAGCAGUUAAGAGCGCUGGCUUGCUCUUCCAGAGGACCUGGGUUCAAUUCCCAG
rnacentral:tRNA from 1 species